UGUAUGAAAUGGAUAUAAGAUAUAUAGAUGUAUGAAAUGGAAUAUGAUAUGUUUAAUAUGCUCUUUGACUGAGACGUUGACCGAGAUAAUAUAAGACGAUCUCGUUGAUAAAUCACGUACGAUAGAAAAAAUUAUAUGAAGUCACGUACGAUAGAAAAAAUUAUAUGAAGUCACGUACGAUAGAAAAAAUUAUACUUUAACACAACUUUUUUCAAUUUAUUUCACAUAGUGAUAGUUCAAUAUCGGUUCGAUGGCUAUAUGAUAUAGUUUGAUAGCUGUACGAUGCAAUUCAAUAUCGGUUCGAUAGCUGUAUGAUACAGUUUGAUAGCUGUACGAUGCAGUUCAAUAUCGGUUCGAUAGCUGUAUGAUACAGUUUGAUAGCUGUACGAUGCAGUUCAAUAUCGGUUCGAUAGCUGUAUGAUACAGUUUGAUAGUAGUUCAAUGGUGGUUCAAUAGCUGUAUGAUGCAGUUUGAUAGCUGUAUGAUGCAGUUCAAUAUCGGUUCGAUAGCUGUAUGAUACAAUUUGAUAGCUGUACGAUGCAGUUCAAUAUCGGUUCGAUAGCUGUAUGAUACAGUUUGAUAGUAGUUCAAUGGUGGUUCAAUAGCUGUAUGAUGCAGUUUGAUAGCUGUACGAUGCAGUUCAAUAUCGGUUUGAUAGCUGUAUGAUACAGUUUGAUAGUGGUUCAAUAGCGGUUCAAUAGAUGUGUGAUGCUGUUUGAUAGCGGUUCGAUAGCUGUACAAUGCAGUUUGAUAAUAUAUGAUAUAGAUGUAUGAUAUAAAUGUAAGUUUGGAAUGUUUAAUGUGGUUUUUAUUUCGAACGAGAUGUUAACUGAGACGUUAACCGAGACAGCAUUAUAAAGCUUUGAAAUGAGAAUGCGUGCAGAUAAAAAAAUUCCACAAAGCUGACACGACUUUUUUCAAAUUCAUCUCUCAAGUGAGAGUAACGCACAUCUUUAGUCUACUGCUUCUCGACGGUGCAGUCAGUUCGUGGUAUAUUAAUAGUGAGCUUGUGAAGAAACUUUUUAUCGCAAAUACUACAUGACCAUGCAGAACAUUCAAAUCAUGUAUCCCGUCACCGGUGUAAGUGAUAGUGCAAGUUUAUGUGCAUGUGAAGUGUAAAAAAUUAAAUAAUAAUUAUAUUCUGUUUUUUAGUACGUGUGUGUUGAUGGGACGCCGAUCCGACGUGUUAUAAUUAACAAUGAGCUGCGCGUGAGGGUACCACUUCCUGGCCCUCCAAUAAACAUCCCUUUAGGAGGGCUAUUGUCGGUGCGCGAGUCAACAAGUAAUCAACCAUGGUUGUACCAAGAAGAUAUCCAAAUUAGGGGAUUUAUUAAUAUAAAUAAAAUAUUCUGGACACGAUGGAGGAGAAAUAUGCUAAGAGCGCAGAACGACGACGUUUUGGAACGAUCAUACGGUCAAUUUGGUGAAGCCGACGUAUGGGACUUGCGUCGUCUUUUUGGCAUGCCUCCUCUAAUAGAUAAUAAUAUCGAAAUUUGGGUGUAAAUAUAUAAAUAUAUAAAUAUAUAUAAAUAAAUGAUAAGAAUGAAUAUAAAUACAUAAA